AGGAUUAUAGUUUAAUAUUAAAACAUUUGAUUUGCAAUCAAAAAAUAUUAUUUUAAUUUAUCUU
rnacentral:tRNA from 1 species